UACGUAGGGCGCAAGCGUUGUCCGGAAUUAUUGGGCGUAAAGAGCUCGUAGGCGGCUUGUCGCGUCGGAUGUGAAAGCUCGAGGCUUAACCUCGGGUCUGCGUUCGAUACGGGCAGGCUAGAGGCAGGUAGGGGAGAACGGAAUUCCCGGUGUAGCGGUGAAAUGCGCAGAUAUCGGGAGGAACACCGGUGGCGAAGGCGGUUCUCUGGGCCUGUACUGACGCUGAGGAGCGAAAGCGUGGGGAGCGAACAGG
rnacentral:rRNA from 1 species